rnacentral:rRNA from 1 species
AACGUAGGACGCAAGCGUUAUCCGGAGUUACUGGGCGUAAAGCGCGGGCAGGCGGUCUGAUGCGUCUGAUGUGAAAGCGCCCCGCUAAACGGGGCGAGGCCAUUGGAAACGGUCGGACUGGAGGGCAGUAGAGGUAGGCGGAAUUCCGGGUGGAGUGGUGAAAUGCGUAGAGAUCCGGAGGAACACCAGAGGCGAAGGCGGCCUACUGGGCUGCACCUGACGCUGAGCCGCGAAAGCCAGGGGAGCGAACGGG